CCCUUAGAUGUUCGGGGCCGCACGCGCGCUACACUGAAGGAAUCAGCACGUCUUUCUCCUUGUCCGAAAGGACUGGGUAACCCGCUGAACCUCCUUCGUGCUAGGGAUUGGGGCUUGUAAUUCUUCCCCAUGAACGAGGAAUUCCCAGUAAGCGCGAGUCAUAAGCUCGCGUUGAUUACGUCCCUGCCCUUUGUACACACCGCCCGUCGCUGCAACUGAUUGGGUGACCUGGUGAACAUCUUGGACCGGUCCACUCAAUUUCGAGAGGACUGGAAAAGGCCGUAAAUCAGGUACAUCUAGAAAUUGCAAAAGUCGUAACA
rnacentral:rRNA from 1 species